rnacentral:rRNA from 1 species
CAGUAUCCACGGUAAUACGUAGGGUGCAAGCGUUAAUCGGAAUUACUGGGCGUAAAGCGUGCGCAGGCGGUUAUAUAAGUCAGAUGUGAAAUGCCCGGGCUCGACCUGGGAACUGCAUUUGAGACUGUAUGGCUAGAGUGUGUCAGAGGGGGGUAGAAUUCCACGUGUAGCAGUGAAAUGCGUAGAUAUGUGGAGGAAUACCGAUGGCGAAGGCAGCCCCCUGGGAUAACACUGACGCUCAUGCACGAAAGCGUGGGGAGCAAACAGGAUUAGAUACCCCCGUAGUCCCUGUCUCUUAUAC